rnacentral:lncRNA from 1 species
AAAGUCCUGAAAUUGGAAUAAUAGAUUGAUUUGCCUCCAUAUUCUUCCUCAGGAGAUACUUUUUGCAAACCAUGAUGGGAGACCCUGUGGACAGCCACAGAAGGACAGUGUGUUCAUCCAGCAUGGAGGUAAGGGGAGCAGUAUUACCAUAGCCAUUUUGUUCAUGGCACUCAU